GACGAACCGUGCGAACGUUGUUCGGAUUCACUGGGCUUAAAGGGCGCGUAGGCGGGUUCUCAAGUCGGUGGUGAAAUCUUUCGGCUCAACCGGAAAAUGGCCUCCGAUACUGGGAACCUCGAGGGAGGUAGGGGCAUGCGGAACUUCGGGUGGAGCGGUGAAAUGCGUAGAUAUCCGAAGGAACGCCGGUGGCGAAAGCGGCGUGCUGGACCUCUUCUGACGCUGAGGCGCGGAAGCCAGGGGAGCAAACGGG
rnacentral:rRNA from 1 species